rnacentral:rRNA from 1 species
GAUGAACGCUGGCGGCGUGCCUAACACAUGCAAGUCGAGCGAUUUACUUCGGUAAAGAGCGGCGGACGGGUGAGUAACGCGUGGGUAACCUGCCCUGUACACACGGAUAACAUACCGAAAGGUAUGCUAAUACGAGAUAAUAUGCUUUUAUCGCAUGGUAGAAGUAUCAAAGCUUUUGCGGUACAGGAUGGACCCGCGUCUGAUUAGCUAGUUGGUAAGGUAACGGCUUACCAAGGCGACGAUCAGUAGCCGACCUGAGAGGGUGAUCGGCCACAUUGGAACUGAGACACGGUCCAAACUCCUACGGGAGGCAGCAGUGGGGAAUAUUGCACAAUGGGCGAAAGCCUGAUGCAGCAACGCCGCGUGAGCGAUGAAGGCCUUCGGGUCGUAAAGCUCUGUCCUCAAGGAAGAUAAUGACGGUACUUGAGGAGGAAGCCCCGGCUAACUACGUGCCAGCAGCCGCGGUAAUACGUAGGGGGCUAGCGUUAUCCGGAAUUACUGGGCGUAAAGGGUGCGUAGGUGGUUUCUUAAGUCAGAGGUGAAAGGCUACGGCUCAACCGUAGUAAGCCUUUGAAACUGGGAAACUUGAGUGCAGGAGAGGAGAGUGGAAUUCCUAGUGUAGCGGUGAAAUGCGUAGAUAUUAGGAGGAACACCAGUUGCGAAGGCGGCUCUCUGGACUGUAACUGACACUGAGGCACGAAAGCGUGGGGAGCAAACAGGAUUAGAUACCCUGGUAGUCCACGCCGUAAACGAUGAGUACUAGCUGUCGGAGGUUACCCCCUUCGGUGGCGCAGCUAACGCAUUAAGUCUUCCGCCUGGGGAGUACGGCCGCAAGGUUA